AGUGCUAGUGGCGGCAGGUGCAGGUGGCCGCGCGGCAUCCUGGGGCUUGCAGUCUCCCGAGCGUUCUGUUGUGUCCCUGCCUACAAUUUUAGGGAACCUAAUAAAAGGGUGGUCGGUAUGUUUUUAUUUGGGUGUGUACUUUUGUUAGGUCGCUUUUUCGCUAUGCAUUAAGUACGGACUUUAGGACUCAACUAGUACCAGGAAGAAAAAGACCGGACAUUUUCACCUGUUUGUUAUACAGCGAAGGGGAAAAAUUGGGAAGAAAUCCUCAAGCUACAAGAAAAAUAACCAGAAGCUUUACACUUUAGCCUGCAGUGACUUAUAUCCUGGUGUCCUAAGUCCACCUAAGUCAGUUUUGCAAUAAGAGGUCCCAAGUUUGGUUUUCUUGGAGCUUGCAUCAGUUGGUUGCAUCAUCCCUGAGUAGAAGAUUUGCGGUUGCAAGGAAAAAUAAGGUACAGAGCUUCUCCAGCGGGAAAGUGCAUGUCUGCACGGCACGAGCCCACGCACCGCAGAACAGGCUUGCCAGGUCUCCUCAGAGACCCUCGCAGGAACCUAACAAUGAAAUCCAGUUGUCCAGUCUUGAUUUGUGGAGGGGUAAGGAGAAUCCGAGGCCAGUGGGCAAUCCGCCCACUGUUGGGAGCGACUGACCUCACGAAUCAAUAAUUUGCUUUUGACUAGGAAGUGCAGCGGUUCUUGGGGGGAGGGGCUGGACUGGGUGGCGGACGCGAGGAGCAACGGUUCUCCCGAACCUCUCCCCCGCCCCUACUAUCUUGGCCUACAUUUUCCCGCUCCGUCCCGGGACCUGGACACCCAGAAUCCACGAAAAGCAACUCGCGCUCGAGAACAGCUCUCGUACCCUUCUACGUGAUCUGCACCUUUAAGCUCACUCCAUCCCAAACCGGACCCCGGAGGCACCACCCACAUCCGUCUAACAUCACUUCCUUCAGAGUUUGAAAAAAAAAAAUCUGGGAAGUAGAGGUGUUGUGCUGAGCGGCGCUCGGCGAACUGUGUGGACCGUCUGCUGGGACUCCGGCCCUGCGUCCGCUCAGCCCCGUGGCCCCGCGCACCUACUGCCAUGGAGACGCGGCCUCGUCUCGGGGCCACCUGUUUGCUGGGCUUCAGUUUCCUGCUCCUCGUCAUCUCUUCUGAUGGACAUAAUGGGCUUGGAAAGGGUUUUGGAGAUCAUAUUCAUUGGAGGACACUGGAAGAUGGGAAGAAAGAAGCAGCUGCCAGGCCUUAUUAAUAAAAUGGACGGGCAGUCUUUCGCUGCAGGAAGAUCACAUUCUCCUGAGGCCUAUAACAUUUGGCAUAAAUAACUGAUGCCAUUAUAGUCUCUGUAUCUCCUUUCUGAGAAAGCUGAACCUGGGCCUAGCUGGCGUAGAACUCCUGUUUCCAUAGAAACAAGAGGGUCUGUAAAAGUCAAGGGAGACAGGAAGAGCAGUUUGCACUUCCGGCUUACGUCGGAGACGCGUACAACCCGGAAGUUGGCGCAGCGCGGUUGCCAAUGGUCGCUCCCUGAGAGGAUGCCGCUCGUGGUGUUUUGCGGGCUGCCGUACAGCGGCAAGAGCCGGCGUGCUGAAGAGUUGCGCGUGGCGCUGGCUGCCGAGGGCCGCGCGGUGUACGUGGUGGACGACGCAGCUGUCCUGGGCGCAGAGGACCCAGCGGUGUACGGCGAUUCUGCCCGUGAGAAGGCAUUGCGUGGAGCUCUGCGAGCCUCCGUGGAACGGCGCCUGAGUCGCCACGACGUGGUCAUCCUGGACUCGCUUAACUACAUCAAAGGUUUCCGUUACGAGCUCUACUGCCUGGCACGGGCGGCGCGCACCCCGCUCUGCCUGGUCUACUGCGUACGGCCCGGCGGCCCGAUCGCGGGACCUCAGGUGGCGGGCGCGAACGAGAACCCUGGCCGGAACGUCAGUGUGAGUUGGCGGCCACGCGCUGAGGAGGACGGGAGAGCCCAGGCGGCGGGCAGCAGCGUCCUCAGGGAACUGCAUACUGCGGACUCUGUAGUAAAUGGAAGUGCCCAGGCCGACGUACCCAAGGAACUGGAGCGAGAAGAAUCCGGGGCUGCGGAGUCUCCAGCUCUUGUGACUCCGGAUUCAGAGAAAUCUGCAAAGCAUGGGUCCGGUGCCUUUUACUCUCCCGAACUCCUGGAGGCCCUAACGCUGCGCUUUGAGGCUCCCGAUUCUCGGAAUCGCUGGGACCGGCCUUUAUUCACUUUGGUGGGCCUAGAGGAGCCGUUGCCCCUGGCGGGGAUCCGCUCUGCCCUGUUUGAGAACCGGGCCCCACCACCCCAUCAGUCUACGCAGUCCCAGCCCCUCGCCUCCGGCAGCUUUCUGCACCAGUUGGACCAGGUCACGAGUCAAGUACUGGCCGGAUUGAUGGAAGCGCAGAAGAGCGCUGUCCCCGGGGACUUGCUCACGCUUCCUGGUACCACAGAGCACUUGCGGUUUACCCGGCCCUUGACCAUGGCAGAACUGAGUCGCCUUCGUCGCCAGUUUAUUUCGUACACUAAAAUGCAUCCCAACAAUGAGAACUUGCCGCAACUGGCCAACAUGUUUCUUCAGUAUUUGAGCCAGAGCCUGCACUGACCAGAGGAGGUAGGGGGGAAGCCAUGGCUUCUGAUCUCCACUCCACUUUAUUUCUCUGGGAAAAAUAGGCUGCAGGUCUCCAGAGCAUAUCGAUGCAGUACUGUACUAGAGCUGUUGUGACUGAUUCACUCAAACUUUCCUGCAUACCCCUGUGCCAGGCCUUGGGUUUACAGCAUAAGUUCAGACUAAAGAGAAUGGAGAACUAUUGUGGUGCAACCUGGCAAAUCCCUCAGAGGACAGAGCUAAGGUGGACAGGGAUUACCUAGAUUGGAUCCUACUUGGGCUAUCACAGAGCAUUGACCAUUGGCUUCCCUCAUCUGAGGCGUGGGAGAGCAGACUGGAUAGAUGAGAAUUGUUUUAAAACAAUUGUGAACAGAAACUGAAGAUGGUACAGUUCUACAUCUGCACCUGCCCUUUUUUCAUACCACAAAAGUAUUUUUUGAGUACUGUACUGACUUUUUGCUAGUUUCUAUUCUGGGACCGAGUUCACAGAUAAAUCCAUUGGUUUGUAUCCUUGAGAAACUUUGUUUUUGUGGAAGUAAGAAAGUUAUCUACUAGAUUAUUUCCUCUAAUAAAAUCUUUUAAAAUAGUCUACUGGAA